UACGAAGGGGGCUAGCGUUGCUCGGAAUUACUGGGCGUAAAGGGCGCGCAGGCGGCUGCUCAAGUCAGGCGUGAAAGGCCUGGGCUCAACCCGGGAAUUGCGCUUGAGACUGGGCUGGCUUGAGUGCGGGAGAGGAUGGUGGAAUUCCCAGUGUAGAGGUGAAAUGCGCAGAUAUCGGGAGGAACACCAGUAGCGAAGGCGGCAUCCUGGACCGACAUUGACGCUGAGGCGCGACAGGCGUGGGGAGCAAACAGG
rnacentral:rRNA from 1 species